rnacentral:rRNA from 1 species
GGGUAGUAGUGUAAUUUUUAAACCUAAAGAAUUNGGCGGUACUUCAUUCUUACUAGAGGAACUGCUCUUGUAUCGAUAUUCCACGAUUAAGUUUACAUAUUUUUGUUUUCAGUUUGUAUACCGCCGUUGUCAGAUUAUUUUUAAAGAAUAUUAUCUAGCUAGUAUGUUACUGUGACAUCAGGUCAAGGUGCAGCCGAUAAAUAUGGAAGUAGUGGGUUACAAUAAAGUUAAAUUAUUACGGCCUAAUGAUUGUAUAAUUGUUAUUAAGGUGGAUUUAGUAGUAAAUUGAAAAUAAAAUGUUCGUAUGAAAUGAGCUCUGAAGUGUGU